rnacentral:lncRNA from 10 species
CAGGCAAAUGCCUUUUCUAAGCCAAUGAGAUAUCAGGAAAGCUUUUCAGAGACUUGGAUCAGAGCUAAGGCCUUUUUCCUAUUGGAUGUGGACCAAAGAGAAUGCAAACUCGGGCACUGGCGGCAGCCAUCUUGCCAGUGUUUAGGGAGACUCCAGUGAGAGUGGAGCCAACAUAGCAAAAGGCAGGAGAGAGAGAUGGAGACAAACCGGUACUGCGGUCAUGGCUUGUUCAUUUCCAGCAGUACCUGGUCCCACCCCUAACCCUACACUUUUUUUUUUUUUUUUUUUUCAAUUUCCCUUGCAGGCUGGGAUCAGUUCUCAGUAAACACUUUUGUUAGAGUGAUAUUCUUUUUUUUUAAUUAAAAAAGAUUCAAAAAAAUAGAAACGGGGUCUUGCGGAUAGGAUAGGUAUUCUUAGCUGCUGGUAACCUAACAGCUACCCU